GACGAACCGUGCGAACGUUGUCCGGAAUCAUUGGGCGUAAAGAGCGUGUAGGCGGCCUGGUAAGUCCGCUGUGAAAGUCCAGGGCUCAACCCUGGAAUGCCGGUGGAAACUGUCAGGCUCGAGUCCGGAAGAGGCGAGUGGAAUUCCUGGUGUAGCGGUGGAAUGCGCAGAUAUCAGGAAGAACACCAACGGCGAAGGCAGCUCGCUGGGACGGUACUGACGCUGAGACGCGAAAGCGUGGGGAGCGAACAGG
rnacentral:rRNA from 1 species